rnacentral:lncRNA from 1 species
AUUUUGCACUGCAUAAGAUUCAUGUACUUAUAUGGUGCUGCUAUUUGUAUUCAUUAAAACAUUGGUCUGUUGGAAAAACACUUAAAAACAUUUUUUUUCUACUUUGCUAGAAAGUUUUAUGUUUUCUUUUUAAAAGAAAAAUAUUGAGCAAGAUUGGAAAGCAACACAUUAUACUGCUGACUAUUUGAAUGAUGCAGGUAAAAGUAAACAUUGAAUUAGAAAUGAGGAUACACAGCAAUGACAAAAACAUGAGCUAAAUUUAAGAAGACCCUUCUUAGCACUCGUUGCUUGUUGCUUUGCAUUAUGUAUGUGCUUUGCCAUGUUCUAGAUAAUUUCUCUCCUUGGAUUUAGU